rnacentral:antisense_RNA from 1 species
AAGAAAUUGUCUUUAAAAUAAUAUUCUCUCCACUUAAGAAUUUUCCUUUUCUUUUAUUUGCUCUUAAUUAAAUUAAAUGAUAUGGUUUAAAAGUUGUUAUUGUAAAAUUUGAAAUGAUUUUAAUAAAAGAAAAAGCAUUUCACUUUUAAAUCUUUUUUAGAUAUUGAAAUCCAAAUAGCUUAAACACAUACCUGGUGAGUCUUUGUCUUUGCGUCAGAUACCUGAUUCUUCCUUGAAUUACUAUUUGAUUUAGAAGUGAAAGUGGUAGUGAGUCCAACAAUAAAUCCGAUAAAUUUAACCUUGAUUGCUAAGAUAUAUGUUGCUAUACUUAAUAUUGUUGUAAUAGUGAAAGUAAGGAAGAUUGAUUGUAAAUAUGGUAUCUGGAGCGGAAUGAUUAUAUAAGACAUAGUUACUUCAAGCCAAAGCAUAUGUACAAUAUAUAUUAUAAUUGAUGAUGCUGUAAAAUGGAAAUAUAAGUUUGGAAUAAAUACAUGAUUAAGUAGUGAAUGGCAUAUUGAAUCCAAUACAAAUACGAUAAUCCAUGAUCCUGUAACAUAGAAUAAUGAGCUACUUGGUAUUCUAUACAUUGGGAAUGCCCACAUAUAUCCAAUGCCAUCAUUACCCAAAGAAAAGCUGAUUGAAUAUAAAACCAAAGAAAUGAAAACGAGAGUUGGUUUAAACAUUCCUGGCAUAUUAUUAAUAAUACUGUGGAUCUUAUUACUGGAAUAAUAAUUAUAAUCAUUUGAAAGGCUUAUUUUGUCAACAGAUUGUUGGUGAUUUUUAGUAUUACCAAAAUUGAAUUCUUUGCAAGCAUUAAUAUUAAAUUGAUCUUGACUGGAGCUUGGUAUUGGUAUAGUUAAAUCAGAAGACUCUUCAGAAUUUAGAGGGUCAGAACUUCCAAUUAAAGCUUGGUUUUCGGGAAUGACUUGAUGAUUUAUAGAACAAUAAUGACUUAGUAGUUGGUCAAUAAAACCAACAGCAAAGAAUGAAAUAUAGAAAAUAAUAGCUAACAUCAUUCUUCUGUCAUCAAUAACUCUAAGAAAUCCUUUUUCAGGAAAAACGGGUUUGUGGUUAUCAGAGGAUAUAGUUGAAGUGUUGGAAUUAUAUUCAACGUUACUAUAAAAUGCUAGAAAUAAGCUUCCAAGUAUAAAUGAUGCAGCUGUUAAAUAUAUUAAAGCAAGAUUUAGACUUGAUUUCCCAUCCCUAUUUGAUUUCAUUACUAGAGAUGAAACUAACAUAAUCAUUAGCGGAAAUGAAAGCCCAAAAAGUGCUAAUGGAUGAAAAUUAUAACUAUAUAUUACGAUAGGACCAAAAACUGCUGCAAUACAUCCGCAUGAAAUUAUAUAUGAAAUAUUCUCACUCUUUUUCUGACCUUUCAUAACCUUCAUAAAGGGAAACAUCACCACAGAAAUAACAAUCAAUAAUGCUAAAAACCAAAGCCAUUCAAACCCAUGACAUUUAAAAUCUUUGACAUACAUGAAAUAGUAAAGAUGAAAAUUGGCAGGAGCUCCAUCUAAUGUAUAAGUACAUGGCCUUCUACCAUUUGCCACGUAAUGUGUUAUUGGUAAUAGAAUAAAAUACCCAGAAAUUAGAGGUAAAGCCAAACGUAAAAUCUUCUUUCUUAAUAAUACACCCAAGCUUGGAGUACUUGAAAGAAAACUAGCUCUUCCUGAAACGUAAAAAAAAAUGGGCAUUCCAAAUUCUGAGAAAAAUACAAUCAUUUGUCUGACAAUUUCCUUUUCACUUCUUGUUAUUCCAAUAUUUAGUAGGUUCAAGUAAUAAAUUACAUGAACGAAAACUACCAGCCAAACAGCCAGUGUUUUCAGCCAAUCCAAGUAGUGAAGGCGAGCCUGGCUCGAUUUCUUCAUCUCAUUGGUAGCCUUUUCUUGGGAAAUUACCUGAUUCUCCAUCAAAAAGUCAAAUUUGACGAACAAACCUUUUCCUCUUAAAAAAUUAUACUACCUAAAAUCUUUAGGCGCCAACCCUACUUUUUUUUUUUUUCCUCUUACGUGGCACCGGUAUUUUAGAAAACAAUUAAUAAUUUACAUGCAUGUAAGCUUAGAGUUCAUUUGCAAAUUUUCAAAAAAAAAAUAAAUAUAUACAUUAAACUAC